UACAGAGGUGGCAAGCGUUGUUCGGAAUUACUGGGCGUAAAGGGCGCGUAGGCGGUGUGUCAAGUCAGGCGUGAAAGCCCCGGGCUCAACCUGGGAACCGCGCUUGAGACUGGCACGCUAGAGUUCGGGAGGGGAUGGUGGAAUUCCCAGUGUAGAGGUGAAAUUCGUAGAUAUUGGGAAGAACACCGAUGGCGAAGGCAGCCAUCUGGACCGACACUGACGCUGAGGCGCGAAAGCGUGGGGAGCAAACAGG
rnacentral:rRNA from 1 species